GGAUUUUGUUCUUCUGUAAGAUGUCGCCCCCCUCUAAGAACUAUUGGAAGAUGUUCAGACAUGUCCGUGUGCUGCAAAAGUGACUGGAUAUGAAACCCUGAAAUUCCCAAGCAGGACAUGACCCUCGCUUCUGGCUGCUGGACCCAUGUGCUGAUGUCCCCAUGUGCUGAUGUCCCCAUGUGCUGAUGUCCCUUGUCCUGGGUGGCUGUGCCGUGCCCAGCUGGGCUGACAGCAGCAGUGGCGGCUGCUCCUGCUGGCUGCUGCUGGGCUGGAGCCCUGUGGUGCCAGCCCCGGUGUCUUUGGGGCAGGGGCUGCUUUUCCUGCCUUGAAUAAAGACGAGCACUUU